AGUCAAGAAAACUUUUAUUUUGAGCUAUUUACAGCUUUUAACAAUUGAGUAAGGUAUACUCCUGUGAACAAAAUUUGGAGUGUAUUUGUUCCUCUGCUGGUUUCUCUAGAAUUCAGAAACGAUUUUGAUCUCUGGCUGAAGCUCAGAAGAAACAAGGGAUGGUUAAUAUAGAAAUCUGGAUCUGGAUCAAUGUUCUAGAGGAGGCGGAGGUUGCCGUGAGUUGAGAUCACGCCAUUGUACUCCAGCCUGGGCAACAAGACUGAAACUCCAUCCCAAAAAAAAAGAAAAAAAGAAAACAUGUUCAAACCAAUCCUUGUACAUGAAUGCUCAUAAUAACUAAAAGUGGAAACAACCCAUGUCCAUCAACUGACGAACAAAAUGGCAAUAUACCCAAACAAGGCAAUCUUACUCAGCUAUAAAAAGGAAUAAAGUAGUGAUACAUGAUACAACAUGGAUGAACCUUAAAAACAUUAUGCUUGGGUCCAGAGUUUCAGUAUGGGAAGAUGAAAAUAGUUCUGGAAAUGUAUGACGUUGAUUAUUGAACAACAAUGUGAAUGUACUUAAUGUCAAUGGAAUGUAUUCUUAAUGGUUAAAAUGGGGCCAGGCACAGUGGCUCAUGCCUGUCAUCUCAGCACUUUGGGAGGCCAAGGUGGAAGGAUCGCUUGAGUCCAGGAGUUUGAGGUUGCAGUGAGCUAUGAGAGCACCAGAACACUCUAGCCUGGGUGACUUUGAGAAGAAAAAAAAAAAAGUUUAGGCCAGUUGCAGUGGCUCACGCCUGUAAUCCCAGCACUUUGGGAGGCUGAGGCAGGCGGAUCACGAGGUCAGGAGUUCAAGACCAGCCUGGCCAAGAUGGUGAAACCCCGUCUCUACUAAAACUACAAAAAUUAGCCGGGCGUAGUCCCAGCUACUCAGGAGCUGAGGCAGGAGAAUCGCUUGAACCCAGGUGGCAGAGAUUUCAGUGAGCUGAGAUCACACCACUGCAUUCCAGCCUGGGCAACAGAGUGAGACUCUGUCUAAAAAAAAAAAAAAAAAAAGUUAAAA